ACACUCCUACGGGAGGCAGCAGUGGGGAAUUUUGGACAAUGGGCGAAAGCCUGAUCCAGCCAUGCCGCGUGCAGGAUGAAGGCCUUCGGGUUGUAAACUGCUUUUGUACGGAACGAAACGGCCUUUUCUAAUAAAGAGGGCUAAUGACGGUACCGUAAGAAUAAGCACCGGCUAACUACGUGCCAGCAGCCGCGGUAAUACGUAGGGUGCAAGCGUUAAUCGGAAUUACUGGGCGUAAAGCGUGCGCAGGCGGUUAUGUAAGACAGUUGUGAAAUCCCCGGGCUCAACCUGGGAACUGCAUCUGUGACUGCAUAGCUAGAGUACGGUAGAGGGGGAUGGAAUUCCGCGUGUAGCAGUGAAAUGCGUAGAUAUGCGGAGGAACACCGAUGGCGAAGGCAAUCCCCUGGACCUGUACUGACGCUCAUGCACGAAAGCGUGGGGAGCAAACAGGAUUAGAAACCCCGGUAGUCCCAUGA
rnacentral:rRNA from 1 species